AUUGAACGCUGGCGGAAUGCUUUACACAUGCAAGUCGAACGGCAGCACGGACUUCGGUCUGGUGGCGAGUGGCGAACGGGUGAGUAAUGUAUCGGAACGUGCCCAGUCGUGGGGGAUAACGUAGUGAAAAUUACGCUAAUACCGCAUACGAUCUAUGGAUGAAAGCGGGGGAUCGCAAGACCUCGCGCGAUUGGAGCGGCCGAUAUCAGAUUAGGUAGUUGGGGGGGUAAAGGCCCACCAAGCCAACGAUCUGUAGCUGGUCUGAGAGGACGACCAGCCGCACUGGAACUGGGACACGGUCCAGACUCCUACGGGAGGCAGCAGUGGGGAAUUUUGGACAAUGGGCGAAAGCCUGAUCCAGCCAUUCCGCGUGCAGGAUGAAGGCCCUCGGGUUGUAAACUGCUUUUGUACAGAACGAAAAGGUUUCUACUAAUACUAGGAGCUCAUGACGGUACUGUAAGAAUAAGCACCGGCUAACUACGUGCCAGCCGCCGCGGUAA
rnacentral:rRNA from 1 species